GAUGAACGCUAGCAGCAGGCUUAAUGCAUGCAAGUCGAGGGACAGCACAGGUAGCAAUACUGGGUGGUAACCGGCAAACGGGUGCGGAACACGUACACAACCUUCCUUUAAGUGGGGGAUAGCCCAGAGAAAUUUGGACUAAUACCCCGUAAUAUAGUUGAAUGGCAUCAUUUGAUUAUUAUAGCUACGGCGCUUAAUGAUGGGUGUGCGGCUGAUUAGAUAGUUGGCGGGGUAACGGCCCACCAAGUCUACGAUCAGUAGCUGAUGUGAGAGCAUGAUCAGCCACACGGGCACUGAGACACGGGCCCGACUCCUACGGGAGGCAGCAGUAAGGAGUAUUGGUCAAUGGACGCAAGUCUGAACCAGCCAUGCCGCGUGAAGGAUUAAGGUCCUCUGGAUUGUAAACUUCUUUUAUUUGGGACGAAAAAGGGCCUUUCUAGGUCAACUGACGGUACCAGAUGAAUAAGCACCGGCUAACUCCGUGCCAGCAGCCGCCGUAAGAC
rnacentral:rRNA from 1 species